GUCGAACGGAAAGGCCCUUCGGGGUACUCGAGUGGCGAACGGGUGAGUAACACGUGGGUGAUCUGCCCUGCACUUUGGGAUAAGCCUGGGAAACUGGGUCUAAUACCGAAUAGGACCACGCGCUUCAUGGUGUGUGGUGGAAAGCUUUUGCGGUGUGGGAUGGGCCCGCGGCCUAUCAGCUUGUUGGUGGGGUAAUGGCCUACCAAGGCGACGACGGGUAGCCGGCCUGAGAGGGUGACCGGCCACACUGGGACUGAGAUACGGCCCAGACUCCUACGGGAGGCAGCAGUGGGGAAUAUUGCACAAUGGGCGCAAGCCUGAUGCAGCGACGCCGCGUGAGGGAUGACGGCCUUCGGGUUGUAAACCUCUUUCAAUAGGGACGAAGCGCAAGUGACGGUACCUAUAGAAGAAGCACCGGCCAACUACGUGCCAGCAGCCGCGGUAAUACGUAGGGUGCGAGCGUUGUCCGGAAUUACUGGGCGUAAAGAGCUCGUAGGUGGUUUGUCGCGUUGUUCGUGAAAACUCACAGCUUAACUGUGGGCGUGCGGGCGAUACGGGCAGACUAGAGUACUGCAGGGGAGACUGGAAUUCCUGGUGUAGCGGUGGAAUGCGCAGAUAUCAGGAGGAACACCGGUGGCGAAG
rnacentral:rRNA from 1 species